rnacentral:rRNA from 1 species
UUGGGCCUACGGGGGGCAGCAGUGGGGAAUAUUGCACAAUGGGCGCAAGCCUGAUGCAGUGACGCCGCGUGCGGGAUGGAGGCCUUCGGGUUGUAAACCGCUUUUGUUCAAGGGCAAGGCACGGUCUUUGGCCGUGUUGAGUGGAUUGUUCGAAUAAGCACCGGCUAACUACGUGCCAGCAGCCGCGGUAAUACGUAGGGUGCAAGCGUUAUCCGGAUUUAUUGGGCGUAAACGGCUCGUAGGCGUUUCUUCGCGUCCGGUGUCCAAGUCCAUCGCUGAACGGGGGAUCCGCGCC